rnacentral:rRNA from 1 species
UCUUGUAGCAUAAAGGUAAUAUAGAAAGAAAAAUAGAGACCAAAUAUCAAUCGCAUCUAAUGAUAGCUGGGUACUAUCCUAAAAGUAUAAUAGUACUCUUUUCUAGAAGAAAAGAUAGUUUCUCUGGGAUCAGCUAGAGAAACAAAAAGUAAUGAACAAAACUAAAUUAUUAUAUAAAAUAAGCUUAAAAAUAGCUACUUCUAAAACCUGUAAAAAGGUAUAUAGUCCUAAAACAAUAAUUAUAUUAAAUUCAUUCCUACAUAGGAAGUAAUAAAGUUUAAUAAAUGAACUUUAAUUAAAAUGGUAGUAUAAGUAAAGCUAUUAAUAAACUGUUUAAUAGUAAAAAAUAUCAAGAAAGGAACUCGGCAAAAAAGAACAAAGACUGUUUAUCAAAAACAUAGCCUCCUGUAACAAUAAGAGGUAUUACUGCCCAAUGAAAGAUAUUUUUAAUGGACUCGUUGGGGUUAAAGUAGCGUGAUAAUUUGUCCUUUUAUUGAGGACCUGUAUGAAAGUAAAAACGAGGUUCAACUGUCUCCCUUGAUAAAAUUAAAAUUAUUUAACAAGUGAAAAUACUUGUAUAAAAUUGAAGGACGAUAAGACCCUAUAGAGUUUUAAUAAAACAUCUUCAACCUUAAAAAAGCUUGAGAUGGGAGUUUUAGUUGGGGAAACAUAGGAGCAUAACUCUCCUAUAAAAAUAAUUUUAUAUAUAAAAUCAAUAAAUCCUCCAAGAGCUAAAGAAAAACUACCUUAGGGAUAACAGCGUAAUCCUUCUUAAGAGACCUAAUCGAAAGAAGGGUUUGCGACCUCGAUGUUGGACUAAGGUAUCCUAAUGGUGUAGAGACUAUUAAAGGUAAGCCUGUUCGGCUUAAAAACCUUACAUGAU